rnacentral:lncRNA from 10 species
UAUACCACAUCCAAAUGGCUCAAGCCGGUGGCUAGAGAUAAGAACUUAGCAGCAUUUUUCUCACCUAGCUGACUGGUUCCCCUUUCUUUAAACAGACACUCCAGGCACUUGUUUGUGAACUUAAAGUGCCCCACAUCCUAUUUCCUUAUGCAUACUGCUAACUGCCAAAAUAUUCUCUCUCUGUCCACCUGACCCUCCAUUCCUGCUUCCUGUGACCUGGGAAUGGAGAAUUACCCUCUGGACUCCUUGUGCCCUCCCUGCUCAGGAUAGCAGCACAGAGGGACGAAGGCAAUUGCCUACCCUGCUUGAGAGAUGCAGAGGCCUGGUGUGGAGUUAGCAGUAUUAUGAGAUUGGAUCAGCCUGGAUCACUGAAUCACUGCAUGUAGGACACACUAUGGAGAGUUUCUUGUGCCAAGAUCAGACAUGGUAUAUGCAAGAAUAAAUGUGUGCGUGAAUCAAACCAGAGGUUGUGUUUAUUUUUUAAUUACUAUAUUGUAUUCUUGCUAACCUGACUAAUCCAGCCAGCAACCUUACAAUUCUAAUUAUCUGACUGUAGAUCCUCCCAGGUUGUCUAUGUACAUAAACUUGUCCUCACUUUGCAAAAGCUAACUAUCUUGUUUCUUUUUUUUCCAAUCAUGUCAACUUAAUUUUGGCUUAUUUGUUUAUUUAUGCACUGAAUGUUGAAUUGAAGAGAUAUGGUGAAAAUAUUUUACUUGCUUUUGAUUUCGAAGGAAAAGCUCUUAAAAUUUACUAUUAAAUGGAAUUAUUAUUGCAAGUUUUUAUAAACUAAGGAAAUUACUUGUGUCAUUCUAUUUAAGAUUCUUUUCAAUUGGAUCAUGCACUGGUAUUGAACAUAAUCUAAUA